rnacentral:pre_miRNA from 1 species
GUAGUAUUCCCUCUGUCCCAAAAUUCUUGUCUUACAUUUGUAUAGAUACGGAUGUAUCUAGUACUAGAUACAUCCGUAUGUAGACAAAUUUAAGACAAGAAUUUUGGGACAGAGGGAGUACAAA